UGAGUAACUGUCUUGAUCAUCUACCCGGCGAAAUUGAGAUGGCUGUGAAGACGCGGCCUAGUUGUCCUUGGACAAAAAGACCCCGGGAGCUUUACUGUAUCUUGGCAUUUGAAAGUAUAUUUUGACUGUUUAGAAUAAGAGGGAGCGAUUUAUCGCGAAAUAUGAAAUACCUCUCUUUGAGAUAUGCAAUCAUUACCUUAUUGCCGCACAAAAAUCCGGCUAAGGAACAGUGUCUGGUGGGCAGUUUAACUGGGGAGGUUGACUCCUAAAUCGUAACGGAGUUGUACAAAGGUUGGCUAACUACGGAUGGAAAUCGUAGUGAUAGUGCAAAGGCAUAAGCCAGCUUAACUGCGAGACCUACAAGUCGAGCAGAGACGAAAGUCGGUCUUAGUGAUCCUCCGAUUGGGUAGUGGUACCCACGGAGCUUAACGGAUAAAAGCUACCCCGGGGAUAACAGGCUGAUCGCAUCCAAGCGUUCAUAGCGACGAUGCGGUUUGGCACCUUAAAUUGGCGAAUCGCGAUGUCGGCUCAUCGCAUCCUGGGGGUGGAGAAGCUCCCAAGGGUUGGGCUGUUCGCCCAUUAAAGCGGUACGCGAGCUGGGUUCAGAACGUCGUAAGACAGUUCGGUCUCUAUCCAGGACAACCGUUGAUAUUUGAGGAGAGCCGUCCCUAGUACGAGAGGACUGGGAUGGGGGAAUCCCUGGUGUGCCAGUUGUCCGGCAGCGCUGGGUAGCUAGAUUCCCAACUGAUAACCGCUGAAAGCAUCUAAGUGGGAAGCAGACUCCAAGAUUAGAUAUCGUUCCGUCGUAAGACGGAUGAGAUCCCUUCUAGACCAGGAGGUUGAUAGGCGGGCGGUGUAAGAUACGCAAGUAUUUUAGCCUACCCGUACUAAUGAUC
rnacentral:rRNA from 1 species